AUUGAACGCUGGCGGCAGGCUUAACACAUGCAAGUCGAACGAGUGGCGGACGGGUGAGUAAUGCUUGGGAAUCUAGCUUAUGGAGGGGGAUAACUACGGGCAACUGUAGCUAAUACCGCGUACCCUAGGAUGCGCCCAAGUGGGAUUAGGUAGUUGGUGCGGUAAAGGAUCACCAAGCCGACGAUCCCUAACUGGUCUGAGAGGAUGACCAGCCACACUGUGACUGAGACACGGCCCAGACUCCUACGGGAGGCAGCAGUGGGGAAUAUUGCACAAUGGGCGCAAGCUGAUGCAGCCAUGCCGCGUGUAUGAAGAAGGCCUUCGGGUUGUAAAGUUCUUUCGGUAGAGAGGCGUUAACUGCAGAAGAAGCACCGGCUAACUCCGUGCCAGCCGCCGCGGUAAUAC
rnacentral:rRNA from 1 species